UACGUAGGACACGAGCGUUAUCCGGAUUUACUGGGCGUAAAGCGCCUGUAGGCGGUUCUUCAAGUCGGUUGUGAAAGCCCUGGGCUCAACUCGGGGAGGCCAAGCGAUACUGGAGGACUUGAGGGUGACAGAGGGGAGUGGAAUUUCCGGUGUAGCGGUAAAAUGCGCAGAUAUCGGGAAGAACACCAGUGGCGAAGGCGGCUCCCUGGGUCACACCAGACGCUGAGAGGCGAAAGCGAGGGGAGCGAACAGG
rnacentral:rRNA from 1 species